rnacentral:ncRNA from 1 species
GGGAUGAGCUUAGAGUCCCCGGUGCAGGAGUGUUAAUAGCUGCGCUUUUGGCCGAGCGUGGCGGUUAGUGAAUC